ensembl:lncRNA
CCUCAGUCCUAUGAAUCUAAGAUUUAACCAAAAAAAAAAAAAAGCUUCUGUUCCCAUCAGGACUGGACUCCAGCUGGUGUCAUGGCUUCCCAGGCACGGGUGCUGCACCAACAAUUUGAAGUCCUUAGGCAAUAUCUAGGGACUGGGGACAAAGCAAGGGUGUUCCAGAAGGAAGAAGGGUCCCCAAAGGGCCUUCUCCUUGAAAAUUUUCAAGCCAGUCUGGGUGUUAUCCUCCUGAGUCUACUUUUGAAGGAGCCAAUACAUACAGCCAAAGGAUUCCUGUGUGCUCAUGUUUCCUGUGUAAACCAAUCAGAAGGCACCUUGGCAAAGACAGAUCUUUACAGCAUACAAAAAGAUUAUUCCACAACAGUGGAUGCUAUUCCUGUUAUUUGGAAUGGGCUUCUGGUUAUUCAAUGGACUUCUCUGUGUUCAAGAUUCACCACGCACAGCUCUGCCCUCACCUGAAAGCCACUCAAAGCUGAUGAUGGUUCACUAAGUCUUUGUAGAGAUCCGAAGUUCGUGUUUCACAGAAACUUGUCUAUUGAUGAAGUUGAUGAUGCUGGCCCAGCAAGUGGAACUGAGCAUGGCAACAGGGUUUUCAUGCUCAGAACCUUCACGUAAUGACAUUUAUCUUUAGUGAAAACUUAUACGUUCAGUCUCACUAUUUUAUGCCAUAUUUUCUAUUCAAUACAAGUUAUAUUAUUAACUGAAGACUCACAUAUACAAUUCUAGAUGGGACUAAGGCAGGCUAGGGCUUGUGAGGAGGCUCCACAGUCAUCAGACACCCCGGUUGCAACUGUCCUUCCACUUUCUAUCCUAAUAGAGGCUUCAGAUCUCAAGGUUACCUCAAGAUGAAAGACUAUGCUACAAUGCUGCUGGAACCUAGCCACAAAGUCAUUUGUUCAUAUAGCAGGAAGAAGAGUAGGAAAGUACAGAAAGGUUGUAGUAUAGACUGACUUUUCUUUCCCACCGGGCAGGGCAGUUACGAAAUAAUCAACAUGGAGACUCAACCUUAAUAAUAAAUGCUCAGCCAAUCGCUCGGGCUUGUUACCUGCUAACUCUUACAUUUAAAUUAACCCAUAUUUCUUGUCUAUGUUUUGUCAUAUGACUUGGUAUGUCACAUUUCUCAGUAUGGCAUGCUCUUCUUGCUUCUCUCUGUGUCUCUCGAGACUCCUGACUGCUCAUCGUCCCAUCAUUUUCAGUUUGGAUUGACGGCCUAAUUUUAUCCAGUUCAGCUAUUGGCCAGUCAGCUUCUUUAUUAAAGCAAUCUCAGAGGCAUAUAUUCACACAUUGUAAAGAAAUAUUCCACAAUGUGAAACAACUAUAUGCCCCUCUUCUAAGAAUAUUCUAGCCAGCAACUUCUCCUUAUGUCAUUGGGCAGGGUUUGGUCACUUGAUCAUUCCUGUCUGGGAAAGAAGACUUUAUGUGAUUUCAGGAAGAGUGGGAAGAAUAGGGGAGAUGUGUGUGGCUGUGGUGACUUGUUUAGAAAGGUCUAAACAAGCCAGGCAGUGGUGGCAGUGCACACCUUUAAUCCCAGCACUUGAGAGGCAGGGGCAGGCGGAUCUCUGAGUUCGAGGCCAGCCUGGUCCACUUACAAAUUCCAGGACAGAGAAACCCUGUCUCAAAACAAACAGCAACAACAACAACAAAAACAAACAUCAUCAAAACAAACAGAAAACAAAGCAGCAGAAAAGCCUAAACAAAGGUUUCAGAAUGUAAAUGAGAAUGACUGGGUUUAAAUCUCAGGUCUGCUAUUUACCACAUGAAGGAGAAGCAGGGAGACCAGGUAAAAGGGUGAAUUGGACCAGGGAGGUAGUGAUACAGAAAAUGAAAAACAAUCAUUUUCUGACUCCAAUUUGAAGGGUAAACCAACCGGACUUGUUAAUAGAUUGGAAUACAAGAGAAAAUGAAGUCAAGGGUGAUAGCAAGACUUUGUUUACUUGCUUGAGGACUGAACGACUGGAAUUGACACUCUCUAAGAAGAGAUUAGUGUGGGAUAAUAAGCUCAGGUUUCGAAUGUGUAUUAGACACCUAAGUGGAGGUCUUGAGUUGGAUAUAGUCUAGACCACAGAGACUUGGUACAGGCUGGAAGUAAACAUGUUUAGAAGCUAUCAAUAUGGAGAUAAUACGGAAAGGGCUGAAUUGGAUGAAACGUGAAAGUCGUAGGUAUAGGUCAAUAACAGAAAACUGCUAAGAACUGAAUCUUGGCGUCCUCGCUCCAUCCUAGAGUAACUUGGAGAGGAAAAGGACAGGAGGCUUUGGGAAGUGUAGCUCAGUGGGAGACUAUGUGUUUACCAUGAAGGAGUCUUCAAGGUGAUCUCCAGCACCAAAAAAGGAAGGGAGGGAGGGGAAAGAAGGGGAGAAAGGAGAGAGAAAGAGGAAGGAGGAGAUGAAGAAGAAGAAAAUCUGAAAAAAACAGACAAGAAAAGUUAGAAGCAGUUAGUGGGAGGGAAAUCAGGACGAGGGAGAAGCUGUAAGCAGGAAGAAAGCCUUCUGAAUGGCAGUGACUGCCUUAUGCACUGGUCACACCAGUUGGCCAGUAUCUGUGCUGUGGCUGUCUGACAAGAGAGGUUUCUGG